GACGAACGCUGGUGGUGUGCUUAAUACAUGCAAGUCGAGCGAUAAGGCCCUUCGGGGUACAUAAGCGGCGGACGGCUGAGUAACACGUAGGUAACAUGCCCUUUACUGGGGGACAACACCGGGAAACUGGUGCUAAUACCGCAUAAGUGUCAGAUUGAAAUAUCUGCCAUUAAAACUCCGGUGGUAAAGGAUUGGCCUGCGUCUGAUUAGCUUGUUGGUGAGGUAACUGCUCACCAAGGCAAUGAUCAGUAGCUGGUCUGAGAGGAUGAUCAGCCAGAGUGGAACUGAGAACGGUCCAC
rnacentral:rRNA from 1 species